rnacentral:tRNA from 1 species
GUUAAGGUGGCAGAGCCCGGCAAUGCAAAAGACCUAAGUCCUUUACCACAGAGGUUCAAAUCCUCUCCUCAACU